AGUGUGCCUGUGGUCAAAUGUUCUGACUAUUGUGGUGACUGCUCAUACACCAAGAAUGUCUAGCAAUGGACUAUACAUUUA
rnacentral:pre_miRNA from 8 species